rnacentral:piRNA from 1 species
UCAGUAUAAUAUAUAUCAGUGUGUCAUA